CAAAAGGUUUUCACAGGGAAUUUGUGACUGCUGUAAAUUCGUUGUUUUAUGAGCACUUUUUGGAUACUGCAAAAUUGUGCCUAUCUCCGAAGCCAGCGGGAUUCAGACAGUUUGGUAUUUGAGCAUUGGCUUCAAAGAGUAGCAACCCGGACGUGCGCCUGGUUGACCUGACUGCAUUUUCUUACUUCUUUUCCUCCUCCGCCACGGCGUUACAACUUACGAUAUUUUAUAUAUUGGCCUUGCAGACCUCAAUUUGAGAGAUAGAAAUGAUGACAAAAGAAGCCAACCUGAUGAUUAUGCUGUUUGCUUCCAUGGUAUCACCUCUCAUGGGAUCAUGCCCGGAAAAUACAGAUGCAAUGUUCUGCGAUGGAGGUGACUUCGCCCCGCAAGUUUAUUGUAAUGAUGUCGAUCUCACCCCCUGGCAGUGCACAAAGAAGCGUAAGGUAUGGUGUGGAUGCAGUGCUGGGUUCGCCCGGGCAAAGGGCGGCACAUGUGUGCGGACAUCACAGUGCAGCACUAUAAAUGAUCUUCGAAAGUUAUAUCCACUCGCAACAAACACUCCAUCAGACGGCAAUCACCAAGACACAGAUGAGCAAGCAAGUAGUAGUGGGUUCGCUGCACUUGGUGAAAAAGCUUUAGAGUUCCUACGGGAAAGACCAAUCACGUAUCUGUGGAAACGUUCAAGUACUUUCAACGUAAGUAAUCCGUGCAUCUGCUUGAAGUCUGAAUUUCAAGUGAAUGGACCAGGUAGAACUCUCGAGCGCACACUACAGUGCUACUAUCAUGUGCC